rnacentral:pre_miRNA from 1 species
UAAAAGUUUAUUUUCCAGUUUUUAGAUACAAUACUAUUUGUCUUAUUUGAAAUUUUUUUGCGAUUAAUACUUUUAUUGUUACUAGAUGAUAAAAUAUGAAUAAUACUUUAUGUGUGAUGAUUUUUUUUUUAUUUUUUAUAAUUUUUUUAAAUAAGACGAAUGGCCUAAUCAUUGGGCAUAGAAAUUAAA